rnacentral:tRNA from 1 species
GGGCCCAUAGCUCAGUUGGUUAGAGCAGCCGACUCAUAAUCGGCAGGUCCCAGGUUCGAGUCCUGGUGGGCCCA